AAGUCGUAACAAGGUUUCCGUAGGUGAACCUGCGGAAGGAUCAUUAACACGUAUCCAACGUUAAACCCCCCGUGAACCUUCAGUGCGCUCGCACUUUCUUAGAAAAGGUAGCAAUCCCUGGUAAAUCAUUGCCGAACAGUUUUGAUUCAGGGACUUCUGCGUAGACUGUGCUUGAGCGUGAGGCAAGUGGCCUGGCAUUCCUCUGCUUGUUGGUGUCUGAAAGUGUCACCAGCUCUGUACGAAUGGCGCAGUCACGAUCGCUAGAGGCCGACACGGCCGGCGACCGGGUCACUGGGCGCGAGCCCCCGUCACCUUUGCAUGAAAAAUUGUGCGGCCACCAAACUCGAACAACUGUUAACAAUGGAUAUCUUGGUUCUC
rnacentral:misc_RNA from 1 species